rnacentral:rRNA from 1 species
GUCUACGGCCAUACCACCCUGAACGCGCCCGAUCUCGUCUGAUCUCGGAAGCUAAGCAGGGUCGGGCCUGGUUAGUACUUGGAUGGGAGAACAACAAUUCUGUUGCUGAAAAGU